GGAACCUUGCCCAUACACAGACUUUACAGCUCAAGCCUCCAGAAUCCAUGUGAAUACUCCUGCAGAACGACAGAUACAGACCAAUGAGGAACAUGGGGUCACCAUAGAAAAUGCUCACUACGCCUAUAAUGAACCUGAAAUCAUAAGAAACAGACCUCUUCGCCAGUCCUGCCAGCAUGUGUAUGUGUACAGUGAGAUACCCUAGUGCCCAGUUUCUCACCCUGAUAUUCUUUUCAGUGGGAUAUGUACAGAUAUUGUACACAAAUGAAGAUGUGGCUGUAAAUGUUGCCCUAUUGUUGUUCCAUAGAUAAGUGAUCAUUCACCCCAACUUUUACCAUCUCUAGCCGUCAGAAUGUUACCCCAACCAAUGCAUUAGACAACCGCUACGGGGCAGUCUCCCAGUUUAAGAAUCAGUAACGAAUAUCUAAAGGUGAAUUUCCCUGCAUGUCAGGUUCAUAUUAAAGGAGAAGGAAAGGUAAAAACUAAGUAAGCUUGUAGGUAGGAGGUGGGUAAUAAUUCCUUAAAGGGACAAUGCCCUUACUUUUACUCGGUAGUCCAACUCUGGUUAGAAAAGAACAGGUAGACUCUUUCUCAUGCAAAUAACUUUUUAUUCACAACCGAUAGUCACUGUUGCAUUCAGACAGGCAGGCAAUUGAGCACUUUAAAUGGUACAUACAAUUCUUUCUCCUUCCCAGGCCAGUUGCACAGCUUAGGUAGGGGUCCGGUACUCUGCAGUGAUACCCCUCCACUCUUCCCGAAUAGGACUUCUUAUCUACGGAUUCUGGCCAGAAACCUUUUACAUUCUUCCUAACUGUUCCUAUACUGGCACUGUAUUCCCUGACUUACAGGCAACCCGUUGGAACCUGGUUCUGCUUUCUUCUGGUUGGGGCGGAGGCUGUAUUUCUAUCUACCCUGACUGCCUCGUACAUGUAAUGCUCACUCUUACACCCCUCUAACCUAUGCUAGCUAUUCCUUACUACUGCCCACGUCUUAACUCACCUCCUGUCGAUAGAUGUUAACUCGACCACACUCUCCUGUCAAAGACCAUGAACCUGGAUGUGGCUGCUCCUUUUAUACCUUCCUACCUGCACUGCUCUCUGGUGGCCAGUAGUCUAAAUUACACUUAGCUAUUUUAAUUAUACCCAAGUUACUACACUACAAACAAAGCAAUAACACUUUUAUAACACAACAAAUUUACCAGAACUCAAAUUAAGCAUACAAAUUCCUCCUCCUGCACCAACAUUUUCCAUAUCCUUACAAGCUUUAUCAGAAAGGUCUAUGUAAAUACAGCAAUAAUCACUCACAGAGUCCUAUCAAAAGAAACACAGGAUUUCUUGUCUCUGUUUUUGUACAUGAACAUGAUGUUCUGGUGUCUGACUUCCUCUCUCAGAAACAGCCUUACUUCCCUUGGCCAGAGUCUGCGCAGUUCUCUCCUCU